rnacentral:rRNA from 1 species
AACGAACGCUGGCGGCAGGCCUAACACAUGCAAGUCGAACGCUCCGCAAGGGGAGUGGCGCACGGGUGAGCAACACGUGGGAACCUACCUUCUGGUACGGAACAACCAAGGGAAACUUUGGCUAAGACCGUAUACGACCUCCGGGUGAAAGAUUGAUCGCCGGAAGAGGGGCCCGCGUCCGAUUAGGUAGUUGGUGAGGUAACGGCUCACCAAGCCUUCGAUCGGUAGCUGGUCUGAGAGGAUGACCAGCCACACUGGGACUGAGACACGGCCCAGACUCCUACGGGAGGCAGCAGUGGGGAAUAUUGGACAAUGGGCGCAAGCCUGAUCCAGCCAUGCCGCGUGAGUGAUGAAGGCCUUCGGUUG